UACGUAGGGUGCGAGCGUGUCCGGAAUUAUUGGGCGUAAAGAGCUUGUAGGCGGUUUGUCGCGUCUGCUGUGAAAAUCCGGGGCUCAACCCCGGACUUGCAGUGGGUACGGGCAGACUAGAGUGUGGUAGGGGAGACUGGAAUUCCUGGUGUAGCGGUGGAAUGCGCAGAUAUCAGGAGGAACACCGAUGGCGAAGGCAGGUCUCUGGGCCACUACUGACGUGAGAAGCGAAAG
rnacentral:rRNA from 1 species